GAGGGGGUGCUAACGUUAUUCGGAUUUACUGGGUGUAAAGGGUGUGUAGACGGGUUGUUAAGUUCGUUGUUAAAUCUUCCGGGCCUAACCGGGAAGCUCGCGAUGGAAACUGGCAGUCUUGAGGAUGGAAGAGAGAAGUGGAAUUCUCGGAGUAGCGGUAAAAUGCGUAGAUCUCGAGAGGAACACCGAUGGCGAAGGCAGCUUCUUGGUCCAUUCCUGACGUUGAGACUCGAAAGCGUGGGGAGCAAACAGGAUUAGAUACCCUGGUAGUCCACGCCGUAAACGAUGAUCACUAGAUGUUGGCCCUGUUUUGCAGGGUUAGUAUCGAAGCUAACGCGUUAAGUGAUCCACCUGGGAACUACGAUCGCAAGAUUA
rnacentral:rRNA from 1 species